UGGGGAAUUUUGGACAAUGGGCGCAAGCCUGAUCCAGCAAUGCCGCGUGAGUGAAGAAGGCCUUCGGGUUGUAAAGCUCUUUUGCCAGGGAAGAAACGGCUGAGGUUAAUACCUUUGGCUAAUGACGGUACCUGAAGAAUAAGCACCGGCUAACUACGUGCCAGCAGCCGCGGUAAUACGUAGGGUGCAAGCGUUAAUCGGAAUUACUGGGCGUAAAGCGUGCGCAGGCGGUUUUGUAAGUCUGUCGUGAAAGCCCCGGGCUCAACCUGGGAAUUGCGAUGGAGACUGCAAGGCUUGAAUCUGGCAGAGGGGGGUAGAAUUCCACGUGUAGCAGUGAAAUGCGUAGAGAUGUGGAGGAACACCGAUGGCGAAGGCAGCCCCCUGGGUCAAGAUUGACGCUCAUGCACGAAAGCGUGGGGAGCAAACAGGAUUAGAUACCCUGGUAGUCCACGCCCUAAACGAUGUCUACUAGUUGUCGGGUCUUAAUUGACUUGGUAACGCAGCUAACGCGUGAAGUAGACCGCCUGGGGAGUACGGUCGCAAGAUUA
rnacentral:rRNA from 1 species